rnacentral:lncRNA from 1 species
AUGAACCAGAGGAGGCACAUGGGAAGAAACAAGGAGGUCGAGGUAAAAACAGUAGAGAGGAGGGACAGAGGGUUGGGGGCAGAGGGGAGAGCCCCCCCGAAGUGGAAGCCAGGUAGCCAAAGCCAUUGGGGAGAAAGGAGGGAGGUUGAGUCGCGCGGCUCAGACAGUCCAGCCCAGCCGAGUCUCCGGGUUUCCCGUCGGUCUCUCCUUCCAGCUUCGCUUCCUUCCUCUCUUGUAAGAUUUCUCCCAGGACCUCUCCGUGAGACCCCCUCCUCCGUACGAGUCUCGGCGAUGGUCCGCUGGUUUCUCCAUCUCGCGCCUGGCUUUGGUCUCUGGCUCAGCCUCCCGACCUGGCCCUCUCGGUGGGCGGUGCUCCUUACGCCCCGCCCCCAAGGAGGACUAUUGGUGAAGAGGUGUCGAGAAGGCGGUGUCCAGCCAGCUUCCGAGAGCCAGAUUGGUUGCGGAGGCCCAGAGGCGGGCGGGAGGCGGAGCCGGCCGGGAGGCGGGCGGGGCGGCUGGGGCCCGGCCCAGAGCCCCGGGCGGUCGCAUUGUUUUCCUGCGCGGAGCCGCGGCGGGAGUGGGGGCUGCGACUGGGACCCGCGGCUUGCCAGACCCGACAGCGGCCGGGAGCUCAGAUCCGGGCUCCAUCCCAUUCGGACGCUCAUCACAUCUCGCCAGAGCCCCAAUCACGGAUUGCGAACUCGGCGUGGUGCGGGGCUGCUGCCCGCCCGCUGCGAUCUCGGUCCCGCUGACCCGGAUCUCGGAGCAAGUACCCCGGAGCUUGGGGAGAUGGGGCUGCAGGGGAGGCCAGGAGGACGGGGGACGCCGCAGCUGGGGACAACGUUCCGAAGUGCGAGAGGGAACCGGGAGGGUGCCAGCGCGCUGUGUGCCUGGCUGGUGGAGAGGGUCAGCGGAGUUGGGGUGCUUGGAGGGAGGAGGGGACCGUGGCCGAGCCCCGUCAGUGCACUGUUGGGCGCAGCGUCUGGGCUCCUCUUCCCACCGGGCUUCUCUGAGUCGCGUCCCCUGGAUUGGGGAGCGCGAAAGGGGAUUAUCUGA